UGGAAGGAAUGAAAGGAAGGAAUUAACAUGUUCCCACGGUACCUCCAUCUGUCAUAAGAUACGACAAACGGGAUUGCGUCGGGUCGACAGUCGGUGCAAUAUUCUGUCAAACAGUGUGUCGAGUUCUACUUUGGCGGAUUAUGUCCCAUCUCGUAUGUGCGCGGGGACAACGGGCGAGAGGAAGCACCGUGGUGCUAGACG